GUGUGUGUGUGUGUGUGUGUAUGUGUGUGUGUGUGUUAUAUACAUACACUUGUGAAUUUAUACAUGUAUUGAUGCCCAUUUAGACACAACUAUGCAUGCAUGCACC